GACGAACGCUGGCGGCGUGCUUAACACAUGCAAGUCGAACGAGUGGCGGACGGGUGAGUAAUGUCUGGGAAACUGCCUGAUGGAGGGGGAUACCUACUGGAAACGGUAGCUAAUACCGCAUCCCAUUGGAAGUGCCAAGAACGUAUUAGCUGGUUGGUGGGGUAAAGGCUCACCUAGGCGACGAUCCCUAGCUGGUCUGAGAGGACGACGCGCCACACUGGAACUGCGACACGGUCCAGAAUCCUACGGGAGUCAGCAGUGGGGAAUAUUGGAGAAUGGGCGAAAGCCUGAUGCAGCCAUGCCGCGUGUAUGAAUAAGGCCUUCGGGUUGUAAAGGACUUUCAGCGGGGAGGCGGUACCUGCAGAAGAAGCACCGGCUAACUCCGUGCCAGCAGCCGCGGUAAUAC
rnacentral:rRNA from 1 species